AGAGUUAAACAGUACGUGAAAUUGUUGAAAGGGAAACGAUUGAAGUCAGUCAUGCUAGUGAGGAAUCAACUUGGUGGUUUACUUCCUUGUGUAUUUUCUUGCUCGGCAGGUUAGCAUCAAUUUUAGUUGUCAUCAAAUAAUUGGGGGAAUGUGGCUUUUCUUCGGGAAAGUGUUAUAGACCUUGAUAGAUGUGGCGACUGAGAUUGAGGUUUGCAGCGAAUGCCUUUGGCUAGUCAUCUGUCUUCUGACCGUUACCUCGCUUUUGACAGCUUGCUGAUGAUUGCGGGAUUUGGUGGCCUAGAAGUUAGAACGGAUUAAAUUCGUUAAGGAUGCUGACGUAAUGGCUUUAAACGA
rnacentral:misc_RNA from 1 species